UACGUAUGGUGCAAGCGUUAUCCGGAUUUACUGGGCGUAAAGGGAGCGCAGGCGGCGCGCCAAGUCUGAUGUGAAACCCCGGGGCUCAACCCCGGGCAUGCAUUGGAAACUGGCGGGCUGGAGUGCCGGAGAGGUAAGCGGAAUUCCUAGUGUAGCGGUGAAAUGCGUAGAUAUUAGGAGGAACACCAGUGGCGAAGGCGGCUUACUGGAUGGCAACUGACGCUGAGGCUCGAAAGCGUGGGGAGCAAACAGG
rnacentral:rRNA from 1 species